rnacentral:lncRNA from 1 species
UGUACUCAAACCAUCUUCAGCCUACAUGUUUCAACAAUCCCUUGCUAUUCAGGGUAAAAAAAAUACCUGGAAAUUGAGAAAAUAAGAAGUAGAAGUGAGACAACAAUAAACAACAGUAGCCCAGAAUCAACACCAGGUAGUAGAAUACCAAAUACAAAUUUAAACCAACUAAUGAAAUAGUAUUUUCAAUAAACCAGAACUUCACACCAACUUUCCCAAAACCCAAAAUCAAACCAUUAGGCUAAGAUUUGAAUGAUGUGAAACUUUAAAUGAUUUUAAAACUGGGGGAAAGGGUCAGAAAAACUCCAGCUGAUGCAGUAUUUGAUCAAUUAUUAUCAAAGAAAGGACAAGAAAUCACUGUACUCUAUGAAAAUUCACCCGUUUAG